UGUAAGCGUAUACCAAAGUUGUUGCAGUUAAAACGCUCGUAGUCGGAAUUUGGCAGUUCCGGAUGUGUGCACAUCGUGUGCGCACUUCGCGGGGAUUGCUUUUGUGGUCUUGCGUAGGAUGAGGCACUUUUAUUAGUGAACGUCCUCACGCAACCACUUUUUACUGUGAGAAAAUCAGAGUGCUCAAAGCAGGCAUUUGCCGUGAAUGUAUUAGCAUGGAAUAAUAGAAUAGGACUUGGUUCUAUUUUGUUGGUUUGUUGGGACUGAGUAAUGAUUAAGAGGGACAGUUGGGGGCAUUUGUAUUUCGGUGCUAGAGGUGAAAUUCUUAGAUUACCGAAAGACAAACUGCUGCGAAAGCGUCUGCCAAGGAUGUUUUCAUUGA
rnacentral:rRNA from 1 species